rnacentral:tRNA from 1 species
GCCGAUGUGGUGAAAUGGCAGACACGCACGGCUUAGGACCGUGUGCCCGAGAGGGCGUGGGAGUUCGACUCUCCCCAUCGGCA